CUACGGGUUGCAGCAGGCGCGAAAACUCUACAAUGCACGCAAGUGUGAUAGGGCAACCCCUCGUGCUUACCCAAAAGGUAGGCUUUUGUCAAGUUUAGUUCGCUUGACGAAUAAGUGGUGGGCAAGACUGGUGCCAGCGGCCGCGGUAAUACCAGCGCCACAAGUGGAGAUCAUUAUUACUGGGUCUAAAGUGUUCGUAGCUGGUCUAAAAAGUCUCUUGUGAAAGUUCUGUGCUUAACAUAGAAUCUGCAAGAGAUACUCUUGGACUUGAGACCGGAAGGGGUAAGAGGUAUUGUUUGGGUAGUGGUAAAAUGCUAUAAUCCUUACAAGACCAACUAAGGCGAAGGCAUCUUACUUGGACGGAUCUGACAGUGAGGAACGAAAGCCUGGGGAGCGAACCGGAUUAGAUACCCUUGUAGUC
rnacentral:rRNA from 1 species